rnacentral:tRNA from 1 species
GCCUCGUUAGCGCAGUAGCCAGCGCGUCAGUCUCAUAAUCUGAAAGUCGUGAGGUCGAUCCUCACACGAGGCA